rnacentral:rRNA from 1 species
ACCACUCGGGCGUGACAGGAGUAGUGACUGCAUCAGCUCUCUGUCAGAUAUCCGUCUAAUCCUGGGGGCAUGUCAACGGUGAAGCGCGUGCAUCUCCCAGAUGGGAGGAGUCAUGCGUACUCAUAGUGUUCGCAGUGAAAGAUGCUCGCUCCUACUGAGGUAGCACCUCAUAUGCGAGGGCGGCUGACUGGAGCAUCUCAUCACUACUGAAUCAGCACAGCGUGGGUCAUGAGCGGGAGUAGAUAUCCCCAGUAGUCACGUCCGUCAACGAUGUUCUUUAGCAUAUCUGAGCAUCGACCCUCUGCGAGGGGAAGUUCACGUGCCAUGAGAAGAGUCUGGCUAGUCCGUCCCCAAGGCUGUUACUCAAAUGAGUAGACGGGGAUCUCCACAAUCAGUGGAUCACGCGGGCUCAUUCGAUGAUAACAGAAGAACCUUUUCACGGUCUCAAACCUAGUUGAAGACAAGAAGAAACUUUUGUCGCCGCAAGGCAGUUAGGCAGGUGAUGCAUCCCGUCGUCAGUUCGUAGUUUGAGUUGUUCCCUUCAGUGGGGUAACGAACGCAACCCUCGUUGUUUUUUUUAUUUGUCAGGCGAGACUGCCCCCGACACAGUGCGGAAUUCCUUCAUAGGAAUUGUUUGCCUCGUCGUGGGAGGAAGGUGAGGAUGACGCCAGCUCAGCAUGUCCCUUUGUUUCCCUGGGCUACACACUUGAUACAAUCUCCCAUACAACACCCCCCAAUCCCGAAAUGGGGAGCAAAUCGUUAUAAAAUGGGGGGUAGUUUGGAUUGAGGUCUGCAACUAGACCUCAUGAAACCGGAAUAGCUAGUAAUUGCAGGUCAGAUAUCCCGCGGCGAAUAACUUUUCAAGUCUUGUAUUCCCCGCCCGUCAACUCACGGGAGGGGGGAAUACCCGAAAUCUACAUUUAUUCUGGCGUAAGGCAAGCUCACUGACAGCGAUUAAGUCGUAACAAGAUAACC